UACGUAGGGCGCAAGCGUUGUCCGGAAUUAUUGGGCGUAAAGAGCUCGUAGGCGGUUUGUCGCGUCUGCUGUGAAAACCUAAGGCUCAACCUUGGGCUUGCAGUGGGUACGGGCAGACUAGAGUGCGGUAGGGGUGACUGGAAUUCCUGGUGUAGCGGUGAAAUGCGCAGAUAUCAGGAGGAACACCGAUGGCGAAGGCAGGUCUCUGGGCAUUACCUGACGGCUGAGGAGCGAAAGUGUCGGGGAGCGAACAGG
rnacentral:rRNA from 1 species